rnacentral:rRNA from 1 species
UACGGGGGGGAGCAAGCGUUGUUCGGAUUUACUGGGCGUAAAGGGCGCGUAGGCGGUCAGCACAAGUCAGUUGUGAAAUCUCCGGGCUUAACUCGGAAAGGUCAACUGAUACUGUGCGACUAGAGUGCAGAAGGGGCAACUGGAAUUCUCGGUGUAGCGGUGAAAUGCGUAGAUAUCGAGAGGAACACCUGCGGCGAAGGCGGGUUGCUGGGCUGACACUGACGCUGAUGCGCGAAAGCCAGGGAGCGAAGCGGGAUU